GAUGGAUGUUGUUUUUAGUUUUUUAUUUUGUUUUUUAGGAUUAUAAUUUGAAAUAAAACUUAUUUCUAAAAAAAUUGCAGUAAGACAACAUAAAAAUAAUAUGAUUAACAAAUUGCUAAAAACUGUUCUAAAAUCUUUCAGUACAUUAGAAAAUGAAAACUAGGCAGAAAGAUGUCACUGCAGAAGAUACUGAACAGAUGUGAGAUAUGCCUGAAUCACUUUUUGUGAAAAGGAUGAAGGGAGGUAAUUUAAGUACUAAGUCAAAUAGGGAUGACAAAGGCUAACAUUCGAAUGUUGAAUUGAUGAAUUAAAAAGUGCACAAGAAGAGAAUUUGUUGUUACUGCUCAAAAAAGUGGGGGGAAUCUCAGGGUCAUGGUGGGUAACAGAAGUGCCAAUUCAGUCAGCCGCAGCAUUGAAAAAGACAGGUUUCAUGUUAGGGAUUAUUAGAAAGGGGAUUGAAAAUAAUCUAUUAUGCAACAGCACUUGGAAUACUGUGUACAGUUCUGACUGGCACAACAAAGAAAGGCAACAUGGGGCUUGCAAGCUGAAAAAAACAAAACAGGUGGAGGAUCAAAAUGAUCAAAAGAUGUGGGCUCCUUCCUGAUCAGGAAAGGCUAAAACACCAUGAAUUCUUUUAUUUUAGAAAUAAAAGGGGUACAACUAAUGAGAAACAUGACAGAGAUUUAAUUAGGCAUGGCACAGAAAGAGUGAAGUGAGGUUUUUUCCCCUCUUUCAUAUACUAGGACUUCAGGAUACCCAAUUAAACUGAUUGGUAAUAGCCCCAGACUAAUGAAAACAGUAUCUGAAAUCCUGUUGAAACCAGUGGGACUUGCUUCCAAAUAAAUAUGCAUAGAAUUGCACUAAAAUAUUUUUCUACACAAAGCAUAAUUUAUAGCAUUGGUUAUCACAAGAUGUUAUCACAAGAUCUGAACCUCUGGGUCAGAUGCUUUAAAAUCCAGAGAUGAUUCAACAAUCUCCAAGCAGGUAGAUCUAGCACAGCCUUCCCCUACAUGGGUUGCUCUGGAUGCUGUUGGACCAUCUCUGACCAUCACCAUGAUUGGUGGGGCUGAUGCAAAUUACAGCCCACAACAUCUGGAGAAAUCCAGGUUGUAUAAGACUGGCCUACCAACAGCUGUGAAGUACUCUAUCCAAAUGGAGUCUCCAGGUUCAGAGACAACAAUGCUGGCAGACCAAAAACAUACAGUUGUUGUCUUUCCACCCUGCGUGGGGGUUUCUGGAAGCAUCUGACCAGCCAAUGUGGGAAAUAGAAUGCUGCACUAGAUAGAUCCUUGGUCUGCUCAAGCAGGGCUCUUCCUAUUAGGUCCCUUUUAGAUACCAUGGCAAAUAGAGAUGGAUACUAGAGAUGGCAAAAGUACACCAUUAUAUCCUCAGAAAGUGUUAUAUUUAUUUAUGUAAUUUUGGAUAAGAAUUUAUUAAGAUCUGGUUUUGUCUAAAAGUGUUUAUGUGAAUGUACAAUAUCAGACUGUAUCUUGGAAGCUGCAAUUAGUAAUCACACAAUACAUAAUUAUGUCAUAUUUCAGCACAUGUUGCACUUCUGAAAGAAAAUGUUUAAGCCAAUCGGUUCGGUGUACUGCACAUGCAAAAAUGCUACAGUUUAAAUGCAGUGUGCAUCUCUGAAGUUCACAAUCUGUUCUGAAAUAAGUAAUACAAAUGUGAUCAUUGUGGGUACACAAGUUUUGGCCAACAAGCCACCUUCUUAUGAAAAUGAUGGUAUCACUAAUUGAAAAACAUAUAUUAUAUGAAUUUUUAAAAGUCGUCUGAGCCAGUAACUGUUGGUAUUGAAUUGUAUGCAUUAAUUUCAAAUUAAAUAUACAAUCAUUAAGACUGAGAUCUACCAAAAUUUAAACAAAACCCAUAUGUUUUCAUGCCUCAUUCUGCACUGUUCUCUCUAGUACCGUAAGUAUUUCAUAAUUCAGAGUAAAUCAAUGCUCACCAUGAUUAAAAAAAAAUCACUCAGGAUGUCAAGAUGAACAAUCAGAGUCCCUGCUUUCAUUUUAUUAAUUCCCCCUAUUUCUUCUAUUCACACAGAAACAUAAUACAAGGCAGCUUUUCACCUUUUCUCAAAAAUGGUUAGACUCUGAGGUUAGGCUCAGAUAGUGAUCCUGAAAUUGAAAAGUAUUAUACUAGGUACAGAAACAAUGCAGGAAACACUGCCCCUUUUCCUUUCUCUUUAUUCAAAAUCUGUCUGUUCACCGCAGAUGUUAUUUUAGUCUUUUUCCAUUUUGAAAAGAUAAUCAUCUGGUGAUUUCCUGGCAUUAUCAUGGUAACAUUUAUGGAAAAGCAUUAAACACCGAUUGGUUUUUUCCACUAUCAAACCUUGAAAGAUUCUAGGAAUCUAAAUAGUUAAACAAAUAGGAUGCAAUUUCUAAAUCACAAUAAUUAGUUGGCACCUGACUUUGAUUCUAUACUGCCUUGAAAUAAAUGUUUAUUACAACAUGGUGUUAUGAUAUGUGUAUUACAAUGUGGUGUUACAACAUUAGAACUGGCCAUUUUUCCUGGCUAGUUCUUUUGCUUUUCCCUUGCUUUAUCAUGUUCUCUCCUUACUCAGGUAAUGUGAAGUAACCAGGAAGCAUGCCUUGUUUGGUUGCUAAGAAAUCCUGCUUACCAGAAGUGACAGAGGCACCAGAGUGGCAGUCUAUGUCAUUCAAAAGCAACUCUUGUUCCAUUAAGUUAUACUUGGAGUCUUCAGAGACAACACAUGAUAUCGCUUUACAGUAUGUUUGCCACAGAAACAUGUGCCUUUACAACAGAGUUGGCAAGUUGCAGCCCUCCAGAUGUUUUGACUCUCAACUUUCCAUCACCUGAGACAGCAGAGCCAAUGGGAACUCCUCCUUCUUUGGCAGUUCUCUUGGCACCUUUCAAUACCAUCAACUACGGUAUCCUUCUGAAGUGACUCUGAGCUGAGAGCGUGGGGCAAGUUCUGCAUCACUUGCUUUCCACCCCUACUUGGGUGGUUGAGUCUCAGAGGUGGUGCUUGGAGGUCAGUGAUCCAGUCUGAUGGAUUCUUCUCAAGAAUCAGCCUUAUCCCCCAUGCUGUUCUAUAUCUACAUGAAACUGCUUAGUUUGACACCAGCUCUAUUUCAUCUUUUUGACUCCUUCAGGUGAGAGUGUGGAUGAGUUAAGUCAGAGCCUGACUACAACUAUGGACUGGAUGAGGACUUUAAAAAAAGCUCUAAUAAAGCUCUAAAAAGCUCUAAUAAUAAACAAACACACUCCAGACAAAA